AUGGAACAGAUGAGCUCAGAUGCAUCACAGGACCGAGGGAGGAUGCUUCUCCUGGCUCCGCGAGGAUGCGUGGAUGCUGCAGGCCCCAAGCACGAAGUGGAGGCCGGGGAAGAGAAAGGAGCAGGCAGAGGUUCUCAGAGGGGCCGGCUUGGCAUACUGUUCACUGUGCCCCCUCUAGAAGAAGAUGAUGUCUUUCUUGCUGCUGUCUUCCUUGCUGAGUGGUGUAGUGGGCAGUGGCACAGGGGAGAGGGUCAGGGUUUGGCUUUUAAUUUAGAUUUAGGCCCAGAUGUUUUUGAUCUGACAGCAACAAAAAAACUUGGAACAAUUCUAGUUAAACCUCCCCGAACUCGGGGCUGCCGGUCCCUUGCUGCCGGACAUCCCAGGUAUAUCAGCCAUGAUAAAGACACCUCAAUUAAAUACGUCAGUCACCAGCACCCCAACCACCCCCAGCUCUUCAGCAUUGUCCACCAGGCCUGUGUGCGGAGCCUGAGCUGUGAGGUCUGCCCUGGCUGGGAAGGCCCUAUCUUCUUUGGGGACGAGCAGCAUGGUUUCGUGUUCAGCCACACUUUCUUCAUCAAAGACAACCUGGUCAGGGGCUUCCAGCGCUGGUACAGCAUCAUCGCCAUCAUGAUGGACUGGAUUUACCUCAUCAACUCCUGGCCCUUCCUGCUUGGGAAGAUCCGAGGGAUCAUUGACGAACUGCAGGGCAAGGGACUCAAAGUAUUUGAGACAGAGCAGUUUGGCUGCCCACAGCAUGCCCAGAGGAUGAACACGGCCUUCACACCCUUCCUGCAUCAACGCAACGGCAAUGCAGCUCGUUCAUUGACAUCCUUGACGAGCGAUGACAACUUGUGGGCAUGCCUUCACACCUCCUUUGCUUGGGUCCUGAAGGUGUGUGGCAGCCAGCUGACUGAGAAGCUCCUGGAGGGUGUGCCCACCGAGGACACCUUGGUCCAGAUGGAGAAGCUUGCAGACUUGAAAGAAGAAUCCAAAAGCUGGGACAACUCCGAAGAGGAGGAGAAAGCCCCUGUCUUGCCAGACAGUGCAGAGGGGCGGGAUCUGACCAAGUGCCCCACAGAUUCUUCCUUGCUCUCAGACUGUGGAAACUGGCAGCCCCGAAAGUUGUCUGUCUUUAAGUCCCUUUGGCACAUGAGGCAGGUCCUGGUUGCCCCAUCCUUUUGCAUGUUGGCCUGGCAUGUUCUCAUGGGGAACCAAGUGAUCUGGAAAAGUAGAGAUGCAGACCUUGUCCAGUCAGUUGUUGAAGUUCUUCAGAUGAUGCUGCCAGUGGGCUGUGUCUGCAUCAUCCCUUACAGCAACCAGUAUGAGGAGGCCUACCGCUGCAACUUCCUGGGGCUCAGCCCACACGUGCAGAUCCCCUCCCACGUGCUGGCCUCAGAAUUUGCUGUCGUCGUGGAGGCCCAUUCAGCCCCUCGCUCCAGCCUCCACCCAGCCGGGUGGAUGACCAGUCCCUCAGCAAGUACGAGUUUGUCGUGACCAGCGGAAGUCCUGUAGCUGCGGACCGAGUUGGCCCCACCAUCCUGAAUAAGAUGGAAGCAGCUUUGACCAACCAGAAUCUGUCUGUGGGUGUGGUGGACCAGUGCCUCGUCUGCCUUAAGGAAGAGUGGAUGAACAAAGUGAAGGUCCUUUUCAAAUUCACCAAGGUGGACAGUCGGCCCAAAGAGGACACGCAGAAGCUCCUGAGUAUCCUCAGAGCAUCUGAAGAGGGCAAUGUCAAGCUGCUCAAGUUCUGGAUGACGGGCCUGAGCAAAACCUACAAGUCCCACCUCAUGUCCACAGUCCGCAGCCCCACAGCCUCAGAGCCUCGUAAUUGACGCCACUGUGUGAACGUGAGCCCGGGCUCGCCCUCGCAGAAGUGAUGACCAUCCCCGCCGCUGAACUCAAGGAUGGCUCUCUGACUGCAGUCACACCACUUUUGUUUCUGAACUGCCGGCAUGGAGUUCUUUCCU